AGGGAUAAUCGCCGGCUGAU
rnacentral:miRNA from 1 species